rnacentral:lncRNA from 1 species
GAGCAGAUGACCAUCCUGUACGACAUCUGGAACGCGGGGCUGGACGCCGAGGACAUGCACUUCCUGCGCCUCACCUACGAGCGCCUGCUGCAGGAGGACAACAGCACCGACUGGCUCAACGACACCCACUGGGUGCACCACACCGAUAUCCCCGCCCCGGGGGCGUCCGGCGCUUGGAGAUAGGGUAUCACGAUGUCUGGGUGUUGGAGGACUGGGGUGUCCGGGGGUUGGGAGACGGAGCAUCAGGAUGUCCAGGGGUUGGAGGACUGGGGCGUCCAAGGGUUGGGAUAUGGGGUGUCAGGAUGUCCGGGUGUUGGAGGACUGCGGUGUCCGGGUGUUGGGAGACGGGGCAUCAGGAUAUCCAGGUGUUGGAGGACUGCGGUGUCCGGGUGUUGGGAGAUGGGGCAUCAGGAUAUCCAGGUGUUGGAGGACUGCGGUGUCCGGGUGUUGGGAGACAGGGUGUCAGGAUGUGUGGGUGUUAGAGAAUUGUGGUGUCCAGGUGUUGGGGGACUGGGGUGUCCGAGUGUUGGGAGACAGGCGGUCAGGAUGUCCAGGUGUUGGGGACUGUGUCCGAGUGUUGAGAGACAUGGUGUCAGGAUGUCUGGGUGUUGGAGAAUUGUGGUGUCCAGGUGUUGGAGGACUGCGGUGUCCGGGUGUUGGGAGAUGGGGCAUCAGGAUAUCCAGGUGUUGGAGGACUGCGGUGUCCGGGUGUUGGGAGACAGGGUGUCAGGAUGUGUGGGUGUUAGAGAAUUGUGGUGUCCAGGUGUUGGGGGACUGGGGUGUCCGAGUGUUGGGAGACAGGCGGUCAGGAUGUCCAGGUGUUGGGGACUGUGUCCGAGUGUUGAGAGACAUGGUGUCAGGAUGUCUGGGUGUUGGAGAAUUGUGGUGUCCAGGUGUUGGGAGACGGGGCGUCACGAUGUCCGGGUGUUGGAGGACUGCGGUGUCCAGGUGUUGGAGGACUGCGGUGUCCGGGUGUUGGGAGACAGGGUGUCAGGAUGUGUGGGUGUUAGAGAAUUGUGGUGUCCAGGUGUUGGGGGACUGGGGUGUCCGAGUGUUGGGAGACAGGCGGUCAGGAUGUCCAGGUGUUGGGGACUGUGUCCGAGUGUUGAGAGACAUGGUGUCAGGAUGUCUGGGUGUUGGAGAAUUGUGGUGUCCAGGUGUUGGGAGACGGGGCGUCACGAUGUCCGGGUGUUGGAGGACUGCGGUGUCCAGGUGUUGGAGGACUGCGGUGUCCGGGUGUUGGGAGACAGGGUGUCAGGAUGUGUGGGUGUUAGAGAAUUGUGGUGUCCAGGUGUUGGGGGACUGGGGUGUCCGAGUGUUGGGAGACAGGCGGUCAGGAUGUCCAGGUGUUGGGGACUGUGUCCGAGUGUUGAGAGACAUGGUGUCAGGAUGUCUGGGUGUUGGAGAAUUGUGGUGUCCAGGUGUUGGGAGACGGGGCGUCACGAUGUCCGGGUGUUGGAGGACUGCGGUGUCCAGGUGUUGGAGGACUGCGGUGUCCGGGUGUUGGGAGACAGGGUGUCAGGAUGUGUGGGUGUUAGAGAAUUGUGGUGUCCAGGUGUUGGGGGACUGGGGUGUCCGAGUGUUGGGAGACAGGCGGUCAGGAUGUCCAGGUGUUGGGGGACUGGGGUGUCCGAGUGUUGGGAGACAGGCGGUCAGGAUGUCCAGGUGUUGGGGACUGUGUCCGAGUGUUGAGAGACAUGGUGUCAGGAUGUCUGGGUGUUGGAGAAUUGUGGUGUCCAGGUGUUGGGAGACGGGGCGUCACGAUGUCCGGGUGUUGGAGGACUGCGGUGUCCAGGUGUUGGAGGACUGCGGUGUCCGGGUGUUGGGAGACAGGGUGUCAGGAUGUGUGGGUGUUAGAGAAUUGUGGUGUCCAGGUGUUGGGGGACUGGGGUGUCCGAGUGUUGGGAGACAGGCGGUCAGGAUGUCCAGGUGUUGGGGACUGUGUCCGAGUGUUGAGAGACAUGGUGUCAGGAUGUCUGGGUGUUGGAGAAUUGUGGUGUCCAGGUGUUGGGAGACGGGGCGUCACGAUGUCCGGGUGUUGGAGGACUGCGGUGUCCAGGUGUUGGAGGACUGCGGUGUCCGGGUGUUGGGAGACAGGGUGUCAGGAUGUGUGGGUGUUAGAGAAUUGUGGUGUCCAGGUGUUGGGGGACUGGGGUGUCCGAGUGUUGGGAGACAGGCGGUCAGGAUGUCCAGGUGUUGGGGGGGACUGUGUCCGAGUGUUGAGAGACAUGGUGUCAGGAUGUCUGGGUGUUGGAGAAUUGUGGUGUCCAGGUGUUGGAGGACUGCGGUGUCCGGGUGUUGGGAGACAGGGUGUCAGGAUGUGUGGGUGUUAGAGAAUUGUGGUGUCCAGGUGUUGGGGGACUGGGGUGUCCGAGUGUUGGGAGACAGGCGGUCAGGAUGUCCAGGUGUUGGGGACUGUGUCCGAGUGUUGAGAGACAUGGUGUCAGGAUGUCUGGGUGUUGGAGAAUUGUGGUGUCCAGGUGUUGGGAGACGGGGCGUCACGAUGUCCGGGUGUUGGAGGACUGCGGUGUCCAGGUGUUGGAGGACUGCGGUGUCCGGGUGUUGGGAGACAGGGUGUCAGGAUGUGUGGGUGUUAGAGAAUUGUGGUGUCCAGGUGUUGGGGGACUGGGGUGUCCGAGUGUUGGGAGACAGGCGGUCAGGAUGUCCAGGUGUUGGGGACUGUGUCCGAGUGUUGAGAGACAUGGUGUCAGGAUGUCUGGGUGUUGG